GUGAAACGCCCUCACGGGCUUAUACUAUUCCAAAACCUCUGUGAAACCGUGCCCCUUCGGGGCUAUUUUACAAAACAUGGUGUAAUGAACGUCAUAUAUCAUAACAAAACAA
rnacentral:misc_RNA from 1 species